rnacentral:rRNA from 1 species
GAUGAACGCUGGCGGCGUGCCUAAUACAUGCAAGUCGAGCGAACAGACGAGGAGCUUGCUCCUCUGACGUUAGCGGCGGACGGGUGAGUAACACGUGGAUAACCUACCUAUAAGACUGGGAUAACUUCGGGAAACCGGAGCUAAUACCGGAUAAUAUAUUGAACCGCAUGGUUCAAUAGUGAAAGACGGUUUUGCUGUCACUUAUAGAUGGAUCCGCGCCGCAGUAGCUAGUUGGUAAGGUAACGGCUUACCAAGGCAACGAUGCGUAGCCGACCUGAGAGGGGGAUCGGCCACACUGGAGCUGAGACACGGUCCAGACUCCUACGGGAGGCAGCAGUAGGGAAUCUUCCGCAAUGGGCGAAAGCCUGACGGAGCAACGCCGCGUGAGUGAUGAAGGUCUUCGGAUCGUAAAACUCUGUUAUUAGGGAAGAACAAAUGUGUAAGUAACGAUGCACGUCUUGACGGUACCUAAUCAGAAAGCCACGGCUAACUACGU